UAUUAUCUUCCUUAAAUGUCUUUAGAAAUGUAAGGAAGGUCCAUUAUGUUUAUUCUUUGUGAUUCAAUGAAUUAACGGAAGUAUCAACUGCAGGUGAAAAUUUAUUCCAUGUAAUAAUCAUAGAUUUCCAAACAUACCACGGACUGUUGGGACAGUUAGUGAGUUUCCCCUGGUGGCAAUCAAGCCACAUUUGGAAUUAGGAGGACAUUUGGCUGGUGGUUCUGUACAGAGGACUCAAACCGCAUGUUCUAUUUGUCCUGGGUGACUUCUUUAUCCCUUAAAACCUGACUUUGAUUCAGAGGCUUGUUCCACAAAGAUUGUUCUGAUCCCACAACUUAUUUUCUGAAUAUUGGCUAUCAUGUUGAGACUCUGCGCUUUUAGUCUCACUAUUCUUCCUGUCUAUAGCUCACCCAAAUUUUGUGUAUAAAAAUCCUACUCAUCUUCUCACAUGUGGCUUUUAUAAAACCUCUCACAUUGGAUUUUACUUAUAACAUUUAAUGAUCAAACCCACGAAAACUAACCCCUUCUUCUUCUUCAUAGCUAUAGGAUAAUCGACCCUCUCUUAUAGCUUCACCAUCUUCUGCCUUAUAUUACAGAGUUGGUUGCCAAUUUGACUUACUACCAAUUCAAAACAGAGGAGACAUUAACAUGUGCAGGUGAAUGCAUAUAGCCAUCCAUUAAGGAGUUCCCUUUUGUGUCACAUUUCUGCUAAAAUCUCCUAAUGAAUUAUAUUGGUUAUUCAGGUCUUUUAAAUGUGAAAUUAUGUGCCUAUGAACACCAGAACUCCUCCUGGCAUUUUUUUUCUUCCUCUAGAAAUAUGUGUAGAAACAAGUGUCAGACCUAUUUUCGUUUGCUGUACAAUUGGAGAACAAAAUCUACCUACCCUGAAGGUGUUGUUGAAAUACAGUCUGGAAUAAUUGACACCUGACGUUAUGGCGCAGGGGAAGUGACCUAGAAGUGGAUACUUACAAAUGGACAGCUCUCGAAAGAAAUCACUUACAGAAUCCCUGCAAAUUCAUGGAUCCCAGACUCCAAAUACUUGAGUAAGAUUCCAGUCCUAUUUCCCUUAACCUAAACUUUACUCAGGGUUCCAUGACACUGCCGUUAUUGUACUAUAAAGUUGAAAGCUACUAUGAAGGAAAAAAGAAGUGGCUUAUUCUAAGAGAGCAUGUCAUUAGUCUUAAAUAGAAGGGAAUAAAGAAGUUUAGAGAACAUGAUAUGGGUACA
rnacentral:lncRNA from 1 species